UGAGAAGGACCAUAGUUUGGUGAUAAAUCAUCUGCUUUGCUUGCAGAAGGUCCCAGGUUCAAUCCCUGGCAUAUCAG